GGGGAAGCUGGCCGGAGCAGCCCUGUUAAGUGCCCUUUGUGUUUAAUCUGGAUCAAUGUGUUUGAGGUUGCCCCGAAUUGGUUUGAAUGAAGCCGCCGGUGCUGAAGAGACAGGGUCUCCCUGAGGUGCUCAGGGCCUCGCCAUGGCCGAGGCUGGCUUGGCCCUUGCCGUCCUCCUGCCUCGGCCUCCCGUGUGCACACUGAGCGUCUCUUGGAGCGGUCUUUUUAUCUGUACCACCACACGUCGCUGGAACCACUCGGAUGCUGCCCAGUGCCCUUGCUCUAGACCCUGGGUGUAAACUACCUGUUCUACAAGCUGAGUCUUAAGUGUCGCCUCCUCCCAGUCACCGCCCAGGCGCCCGCCACGCCCACCUUGACGGGUGUCCGUGAUGGGUUCCAAGCUCCUGUUGGCUCACCUGCACAAACCUGCCCCUGGGAGGUGCUCCCGGGACCCACAGUCCUGCUGGUGCUGCGUCCCCGGGCUGGGGACAGGACCUGGCAGGCACUUACCCAGGGGUCCACCCUCUGUCCUGAAGUCCUGGUCCUCAGAGGGGGCGGGGCUUCUCUGAGACCCUGUGGGUCACCCCGUGACAGCACCGCGGGGCUGGGGUGCCGCUCAGGGGGCGACGGCCACUGCGCCCUGGGGAGGCCCUGGUUCCAUCCCCAGCUCAAUCAGAAAGCGAGGAAGAGUCGGGUGUGCGAGGACCGGGGACCAGGACGCCACUGACCCAGUCGGCGAGGGAACAUGGACUCUCACCUCUGGGGGCCAGCACAGCCCCUCGGACCCGAUGCCGAGAGGGCCAGGAGCAGACUGCCCACCUGGUGUCCCUCUGUCCUUCCUCCGCCCCAUCUGAGGCCGGGAGAGGACCCCUCCUCCCGCCCCUCCCUCCUGCCGGACAGCGGGCAGCGGGAGGCUGGGUUCCAGCAGGGCCGAGGUGGCCUUCGGUGGCCUUCGGUGCCCUCCCACUUAUCAGGGAAGGGGACCGAGCAGCUCAGUUGGACAAAGGCCCGUGGGCAGCAGCGGGGCUGCAGGGGGGCCGCCGUGAACUGGGUGGCUGACAGCUGCCCGCUGGCUCGUCCCUGCUCCCUCUCCCCGGACACCUUCAGGACCACAGGAGGACAUCUGUGGCCGGUCACCCCCCCACACACUGUGCCCCCCCGGUGGCCCCAACUCUCAGUGGCUGCACUUGCACCCGAUGACGCAGGGGGACAGGGGCCGUGUCUGACGAAGCCCGAGGGGCAGGUCCCCCACCCACACCCCGUCCCCGUCCACUGCCUGUGGCCCCUCGGCCUUUACUUCCUGGUGGAGGUGAAGUCCCCACCAUGUCCCAGCCCACAGCCGCGUGGCCUCGGGGCUCCCGGACUGUGCCCACCGAGCAGCUGUCCCGCCCGGUCACCCCCUCACGGGGCCCCCUAGCGCUGGCCCCCAGGCCCCCAGGGUCCCCGUCCUGCGCCCAUCUCACUCCUGCCCAUCCAGGGGCCACUCCAUCCCUGACCCCAGGGCCCUUCAGAGCCCAGCCCCAGCAGGACCCAGUGGGGAUUGGCCGGUGGGCGAGGAGCGGAGGCUGCCCUGACGCAGAGGUCACCCUGGGUCCCUGUGGCUGUGACCCGCAGGCCGGGGGGCCGCCCUCCCCGCCCCUGCCCAUCUAUGGACGGGAGGCGGGGCCCUGGUCUGUGAGGUGGCGGCCCCUGACCUCACAAUGCCCAGGGGGCCCUGGGUCUAUAAGAGGAGCCGGCCGGGCCUGGCCCUCAGCCCACGCAGUUCCACCUGCUCACAGGUUGGCCGGCUCCUGCCCUGAGCCCGCGUAGCCCAGUCCACCCUGGCCAUGGCACGAUACAUAUGCUGCCGCGCCCCCUGCCGCAGCAGAUGCCGCCGCCGCAGACGGAGAUGUCGCCGACGGAGGAGGCGUUGCUGCCGCAGGCGGAGAGCCUUAAGGUGCUGCCGCCGCACGUACACCCUGAGGUGCAGGAGGUACUGAGACGGGCAGCGUAGCCAGACCACGCAAGUCCUGCCCGGGAAUGUCACCAAACCGCGAGACCCUCCUGCCACGUCUGGGAAAUGCCGCCGCCGUUCAGUGAAAACAGGAGCCUGCUGAGGGACAAUGCCACCUGUCAAUAAAUGUCGAAAAUCAUCCCA